GAGGCUGUCCUAAAAUGGGUUAUGACCAUCAGCCACUCUUUUAGAAGUCCACCUUUUAAUAUCAUGUAAAACGACAGCAUCAGAUUUUUCUAUUCAAGGCACAGAUGAAAGAUGAAGAGGGAAAACGAUGCCCCCUGACCCAAGAAAAAGGCUGAAACUUACAGGAAUCUGUUGCAGCUGGAACAGCUGGAAUCCUCACCCUCGCUGCCGGCUGACUACCAGUCAAGUCACUGAAGCUUCCAUCCAUCCCAGUGCAAAGAAGCAGGCUUUUUACUCGUCACUAAGAGGACAGAUCUCGGAAGGAAGAAUCAAAAAGAAUAAAAAGAAACAGACGUGAUACUUCAAGCAGCCAAGGAAAGACCAGAGAAUGUAUACAAAGAAGGCUUCCAAAUUACAUCCUAAGAUUUUCAAUCUAGAACUAAACGAAACUUUAAGGUUUUCUGAUUCUGAUUUCUGAUUCUGAUCAGAGAGGUUAAGUGUAUUGCCCAACACCACACAGAGGGCAGAAAAGAGAUUUAAAUCCAGAUCCUCUGACCUCAAUGUUAGCACUUUCCCCACAUCCCACAAACUCUAAGUCAUAGGACCUAGCAGUGAAAGGACUUUAGAAAUCCUAAUAGGAUUUCUUUUUUUUUUUUUU